rnacentral:rRNA from 1 species
UACGGGGGGGGCAAGCGUUGUUCGGAAUUACUGGGCGUAAAGGGCUCGUAGGCGGCCAACUAAGUCAGACGUGAAAUCCCUCGGCUUAACCGGGGAACUGCAUCUGAUACUGGAUGGCUUGAGUUCGGGAGGGGGAUGCGGAAUUCCAGGUGUAGCGGUGAAAUGCGUAGAUAUCAAGAGGAACACCUGCGGCGAAGGCGGGUUGCUGGGCCGACACUGACGCUGAGGCGCGAAAGCCAGGGGAGCGAACGGG